GCGCGAAAACUUUACAAUGCUGGCAACACCGAUAAGGGAACCUCGAGUGCCAGGUUACAAAUCUGGCUGUCGAGAUGCCUAAAAAGCAUUUCAUAGCAAGGGCCGGGCACGACCGGUGCCAGCCGCCGCGGUAACACCGGCGGCUCGAGUGGUCACCGUUAUUAUUGGGUCUAAAGGGUCUGUAGCCGGCCGGAUAAGUCUCUUGAGAAAUCUGGCAGCUUAACUGUCAGGCUUUCAGGAGAUACUGUCUGGCUCGAGGCCGGGAGAGGUGAGGGGUAUGUCGGGGGUAGGGGUGAAAUCUUGUAAACCGUGAAGGACCACCAGUGGCGAAGGCGUCUCACCAGACCUGACCUGACGGCAAGGGGCGAAAGCUAGGGGCACGAACC
rnacentral:rRNA from 1 species